rnacentral:misc_RNA from 1 species
GAUGAAGAAUGCAGCGAAAUGCGAUACGUAAUGUGAAUUGCAGAAUUCAGUGAAUCAUCGAAUCUUUGAACGCAUAUUGCGCUCUUUGGUAUUCCGAAGAGCAUGCUUGUUUGAGUAUCAGUAAACACCUCAACCUCUUCUUGAUUUUUCAAAAGGAGGGUGGACUUGAGCUAUCCCAACAACCUUUACCGGUCGGCGGGCGGCUUGAAAUGCAGGUGCAGCUGGACUUUUAUCUGAGCUAAAAGCAUAUCUAUUUAGUCCUCGUCAAACAGGAUUAUUACUUUUGCUGCAGCUAACAUAAAGGAUAAUUGUCCUCUUUGCUGACUGAUGCAGGAUUUUACGACACUUUAUGUGUUGUUCAACUCGAUCUCAAAUCAAGUAAGACUACCCGCUGAACUUAAGCAUAUCAAUAAGCGGAGGA